GAUGUUCUUUUUCUUUUUACUAAACUCCAUCCGUGUUCUGCGCGUUCCCUUCGAGGAGACGGCUUGUUUGUUUACCUCUGCCGGCCCUCCGCGCCGCCCGCCGCACCUCUCCUCUAAACAUGACGUCUGGAUUUUCCAAGUUCAGGAGGCCCAUCCUCCUUGGGGGUGCUGUAGCCAUGAUGUCUCUUGUCUACACAUUCAGGCAUGAGUUGAUAGGUGAUCUAACACAAGAGAGGGCAGCACUCUUCCAGCAGACAGACCAAGAGGGAACGCAAAAGCUUAAAGAAAACAUACGAGAAGCACAUGCAAGCUUCUUUAAGAGCUUAAUGCAAGGGAAGAAGGAGCAGUGAUAUGCAAGGACUAUGAUAACUGUACAGUGUGCAUUAAUGAGAGCUUGUGUGUGUAAAAAUGUGUAGUUUACUUUAUCAAUAAUGUACUAUAAUAUAUACAAUUUGCACAGUGAUUUGACAAUUUAAGGGAGGACAAAAGUUUCUAUCAAACAUUCAUGGACGUUAAUUAAUUUAAGGAUUUCUGGAAAGUUAUUGUUAAUGAGAACUUGCUAUAUAUGUAGGUAUAUCUUACUUUCACAUUAUAAGUCUCAAAACACAAGAAAUUUAUCUUGCCUGAUAAGGGGAAAAGCAUUUUUCCAUUGCCAGGGAUCAAACCUUGAUUGGCCAAAUGGAAAGACAAUGCUACCAGUCAGCUAGAGGUACCUGCAGCUAAGUGGGUUUUGGAGCCUCUCCGUUUCACUACAAUGAUAUUUUUUGUCUUGGAAAGUUGAUUUAUAUUAUUCAAGUACCUUGAAGGACUGUGGCUGGUGAUGGCUCCCUUGGGAUAUGAAUAUUUUUGGUGUUCCUUGCUCAAUAAAGGCUUGUCUGGAGGGGAAAUGAAAGAAGUAAGAAGCAUAAACAUCUCUCCAGUAUAACUAUUCAUGUUUGGUAAUCUUUGUCAUUAGCUCUGAAGCAAUAGCUGUUGUUGAGAAAUUUUGGCAUGGAUGCUUGUUCAUCACACUUGACUUUUAGAAGCUUGCAAGUUUCAAUUGUAAUAGGAAUGCAGAUGUUCUCCACUGUAUGGGAAACAUUACUGUCUAAUAACUGAAGAUUAUUAAAUGAUAAAGAUAACCAGUGUCAAAUUAUAUUUGAAGGCAGUUCAUUCCUUAUUCUGUAGUUUUUAUCAAGAUAAGGAUUUAUACAGCUGGUUUUUGUCAUUAAUAAAGUUUAUAUAUUA